rnacentral:lncRNA from 1 species
UUCCUUUUCUUUCCAAAGAUCCUCCGUGGCGUCUUUCCCUGGGUUUCCGCCGUAUCUGUGAGGGGAGCUUGCGAGAUGGUGCAGUCAGUGACGACCCCAGGGACUCACAAAGCAGCAUCUGUCUCGCUCUGGCAACGUGUCACUGCAAGUUGGCCCGAGGCCCCUGCUGCUGAAGCCACGUGGGGACCAAGGGCUGUGUAGAAGUGAACACAGGAUGUUCACAUCUGUGAAGGCAACAGAAACGUCAUUCCAAAUUGCAAUGGAGACAGAGAGCAUCCGGUCGGCUUCAUGGCCGGAAGGCCCUCGGAUAGCAAGGCUGGAGUGUGGGAAAUGCUGUCUCCUCACAGGAUGGAUGCCGUCAGGUUUGUGUUGUGCUUUAAACCCUGUAAUGUUUGGUGAAAUGCGGCAGAUUUGGGCUCCUGAAGUUAGAACGCUGGAUCGCUCAGUCGUGUCCGACUCUUUGCAACCCCCCUGCACCGUAGGCCACCAGGCUCCCCCGUCCAUGGGACUCUCCCGGCAAGAAUACUGGAGUGGGUUGCCAUUUCCUCCUCCAGAGUUGGAAUUAGAAUGGAGAAAACUGAAACGUCCCUGGCGGUCCAGUGGGUUAAGACGUUGCCUUCCAGUGCAGGAGUGGCCGGUUCCGGUCUUGAUCAGGGAGCUAAGAUCACACUUGCCUUGCAGCUGAAAACAACAACAACAACACACAAAAAAAACAAACCAAAGUAUAAAACAGAAGAAGUAUUGUAACAAAUUCAAUAAAGAAUUUUAAAAUGGUCCA